rnacentral:rRNA from 1 species
CAUGCAAGUCGAGCGGACAGAUGGGAGCUUGCUCCCUGAUGUUAGCGGCGGACGGGUGAGUAACACGUGGGUAACCUGCCUGUAAGACUGGGAUAACUCCGGGAAACCGGGGCUAAUACCGGAUGCUUGUUUGAACCGCAUGGUUCAAACAUAAAAGGUGGCUUCGGCUACCACUUACAGAUGGACCCGCGGCGCAUUAGCUAGUUGGUGAGGUAAUGGCUCACCAAGGCAACGAUGCGUAGCCGACCUGAGAGGGUGAUCGGCCACACUGGGACUGAGACACGGCCCAGACUCCUACGGGAGGCAGCAGUAGGGAAUCUUCCGCAAUGGACGAAAGUCUGACGGAGCAACGCCGCGUGAGUGAUGAAGGUUUUCGGAUCGUAAAGCUCUGUUGUUAGGGAAGAACAAGUACCGUUCGAAUAGGGCGGUACCUUGACGGUACCUAACCAGAAAGCCACGGCUAACUACGUGCCAGCAGCCGCGGUAAUACGUAGGUGGCAAGCGUUGUCCGGAAUUAUUGGGCGUAAAGGGCUCGCAGGCGGUUUCUUAAGUCUGAUGUGAAAGCCCCCGGCUCAACCGGGGAGGGUCAUUGGAAACUGGGGAACUUGAGUGCAG